rnacentral:rRNA from 1 species
UACGAAGGGGGCUAGCGUUGUUCGGAAUCACUGGGCGUAAAGCGCACGCAGGCGGAUCGUUAAGUCAGGGGUGAAAUCCCGAGGCUCAACCUCGGAACUGCCUUUGAUACUGGCGAUCUUUGAGUCCGGGAGAGGUGAGUGGAACUCCGAGUGUAGUGGUGAAAUGCGUAGAGAUGCGGAGGAACACCAGUGGCGAAAGCGGCUUUCUGGUCCUUAACUGACGCUGAGGCGCGAAAGCAUGGGGAGCGAACGGG